rnacentral:rRNA from 1 species
UACGUAGGGUGCAAGCGUUGUCCGGAAUUAUUGGGCGUAAAGAGCUCGUAGGCGGUCUGUCGCGUCGGCUGUGAAAUCCCGAGGCUCAACCUCGGGUCUGCAGUCGAUACGGGCAAACUGGAGUACUGCAGGGGAGACUGGAAUUCCUGGUGUAGCGGUGAAAUGCGCAGAUAUCAGGAGGAACACCGGUGGCGAAGGCGGGUCUCUGGGCCACUACUGACGCUGAGAAGCGAAAGCAUGGGGAGCGAACAGG